AUUGAACGCUGGCGGCAGGCUUAACACAUGCAAGUCGAGCGGGGAAGGUUGCUUCGGUAACUGACCUAGCGGCGGACGGGUGAGUAAUGCUUAGGAAUCUGCCAUUUAGUGGGGGACAACAUUCCGAAAGGAAUGCUAAUACCGCAUACGUCCUACGGGAGAAAGCAGGGGAUCUUCGGACCUUGCGCUAAAUGAUGAGCCUAAGUCGGAUUAGCUAGUUGGUGGGGUAAAGGCCUACCAAGGCGACGAUCUGUAGCGGGUCUGAGAGGAUGAUCCGCCACACUGGGACUGAGACACGGCCCAGACUCCUACGGGAGGCAGCAGUGGGGAAUAUUGGACAAUGGGCGGAAGCCUGAUCCAGCCAUGCCGCGUGUGUGAAGAAGGCCUUAUGGUUGUAAGGCACUUUAAGCGAGGAGGAGGCUACCUAGAUUAAUACUCUAGGAUAGUGGACGUUACUCGCAGAAUAAGCACCGGCUAACUCUGUGCCAGCCGCCGCCGUAACAC
rnacentral:rRNA from 1 species